rnacentral:tRNA from 1 species
GCCCCUAUAACUCAAUGGAUAGAGUGCGGGCCUUCUAAGCCCGAAAUCUAGGUUCGAAUCCUAGUAGGGGUA